UAUCUCGGUAACUAUUAUAAGGUAGAAAAAUAAUUAAAAUGUAAAGUAUAUUCUUCACCAGUCAACUCAACCUUUCUCGUUUACUUUGCACAAGAUGUUCUUGUUGCAAAGUAUGUUCUUGUUGUUGUUCUAUGUUACUUAUUUUACAUAAAAAGGUUUAAAGAAAGUGUGUUGUUUUAUUUACAAGUCCAAUUUCAUUUUCAGUUAACAUUUUUUUAAACUGUUCACACUGGUUUCUUCAUCACACAGGUAAGACAGUUAUCAUACUAUACAAUUACUUAUAAAAAGAAACUUUAUCUAUAAAGCUCACUAAUAAUAACCAAUGGUUACGGGAUAGAUUUCCUUCAUCGCAUAUAUAUUAAGGCUUAUAUACUAUCUGCUUUUGGUUAAAGUAUAUUUUAACGGUAGGCCUAUUGUAAUUGAUGCUGGUGAGUGUAUCUAAUUAAACCUUUUUUAAUUGUAGUGCGAGAAUUUCAACCUCCAAACUGGACUGUGCAACAUAAACUGAAAACCCCCUCAAAAGAUAAAGCUGUGGUCAAUCCUCAUUGGCUAGAAGGAUCAAAAGAGCCUGUACAACAAGAUGCCCUUGCACUGGUGAAAAAGCCUUCACCAGCCACAGAGGAGAAGAAGCCACAUAUCAAGAGACCCAUGAAUGCAUUCAUAGUCUGGGCCAAGGGCGAGAGACAGAAGAUUCUUAAGGCUAACCCCAACAUGCACAACUCUGUCAUAUCCAAAAUUCUUGGUGCUAGAUGGAAAGAGAUGUCUGACUAUGAGAAGCAACCGUUUUAUGAGGAACAGAAAAGAUUGAUGAGAGUUCACAUGGAACAGCAUCCGGACUACAGGUACAGACCUCGACACAAACGUUCUCACAUCAG